ACUCCUACGGGAGGCAGCAGUGGGGAAUUUUGGACAAUGGGGGCAACCCUGAUCCAGCAAUGCCGCGUGAGUGAAGAAGGCCUUCGGGUUGUAAAGCUCUUUUGUCAGGGAAGAAACGGUGGUGGCGAAUAACUACUACUAAUGACGGUACCUGAAGAAUAAGCACCGGCUAACUACGUGCCAGCAGCCGCGGUAAUACGUAGGGUGCAAGCGUUAAUCGGAAUUACUGGGCGUAAAGCGUGCGCAGGCGGUUGUGUAAGUCAGAUGUGAAAUCCCCGGGCUCAACCUGGGAAUUGCAUUUGAGACUGCACGGCUAGAGUGUGUCAGAGGGGGGUAGAAUUCCACGUGUAGCAGUGAAAUGCGUAGAUAUGUGGAGGAAUACCGAUGGCGAAGGCAGCCCCCUGGGAUAACACUGACGCUCAUGCACGAAAGCGUGGGGAGCAAACAGGAUUAGAUACCCCAGUAGUCCCAU
rnacentral:rRNA from 1 species